AUUGGUGCUCUUUCUUCUUCGCAUUCUUGUCCACGGCGGCGUCGCGGCAAGGUUGCUCAAGUUGAUGGCGGUGGCUCGGCCGGCGGUCGCGGGAUGCCAGAGGCAGCGACGCACAUGGGGUCGACAGUGACGGCUCCGGUGCCGCGGCUGGCGCGAUUAAUGAUUGGUUGUGCCAAGGGGCUGACGGCGCUCGCCGGUGGCAGCGCGACCUCGUCGGCCUGGAAUUUUUACAGAUUAGACCCUAUUUUAGAUCGCGAUAAUAACCGCGAUCCGUUAUUUUUAGUCCUCCUUCAGCCUUCUCAGAUCGUUCUCCCCUGCUCUGGACGAUCCGCCGACACCGUCGAUGCAGUCCUCCUCGCCGGCGCCGCCACGGACCGUCGACGUCGACUGCGACACCGCCCCCUGGGCGGAGGCCACGUCCUCGGCCGCCCUCCGGCACUACCGCUCCCUGCCCAAGAAGGGCAAGCCGCAGGGGCGGGAGUCCACGGUCCUCGCCGCUUUCCUCCUCACCACGCCGCAGGAACCCCAAAGCCCCACUGUCCUCUCCAUGGGCACGGGAACCAAGUGCCUCGGCGCCGCGCGCCUCGGUCUCAGCGGGGACCUCGUCCAGGACGCCCACGCUGAGGUCAUCGCGCGCCGCGCGCUGCUCCACCUUAUCUACUCCGAGAUCGGCCGCAACGCCCCGCCGGAUUGGUUGGUUGCUUCCGGGGAUGGUGGAAGAUGGAGACUGAGAGAUGGGCAUUGUCUUCAUCUGUACAUCACACAACUCCCAUGUGGAGUCAUGCCGGUACCACCGUCACAGUCGGAGUUGCGGAGGGAACCGUUGGAUAGUGUGAAUGGAUGCAGUGACAUUACAUUCGUUCAAAGGAAGCCCGGCCGUGGUGAUACAACAUUCUCCAUGAGCUGCUUUGACAAAAUCACUCGCUGGAGUGUUGUAGGAAUUCAAGGUGCAUUGCUGUCGCACAUAUUGGAACCCUUGUAUCUGUCCACCAUUACUAUUGGACAAUCACCUGACGGUGCUCCUGAAGGGUUCUCUAUUGAAAAUAAUAUUGAGAAAGUUCUUGAUGCUCGCUUGUCCUCUCUGUCCAGCAAAUUGCCUGCUUCUUUCAAAUUACACAAGCCACGAUUUUUCGAGGCACCUGUUCCGCCAAAAGAGUUUCAACAGAUUGCUGGAGAUGUACCCCCUUUGACAUGCGGGUACUCAGUUUGUUGGAAUAAAUCCAGUUUGCAUGAAGUUGUCUUAGGAACAACUGGGAGGAAACAAGGAACAUCUUCAAAGGCAGCAUGCUUGCCCUCCACUGAGUCAUUGCUCUGCAAGAGAAGGUUGCUAGAAGCUUUUGUGUCACUUGAAAAUCCAAUGGUAUCGAAACUCAAAUGUGAGGAGCUAACUUAUCGUGCAAUUAAGGAUACGGCUCAUGAGUACCAGCAUACGCUUGAGCUUCUUAGAAAGGGCCCAUUUUUCAGCUGCUGGCGUUCUAAGCCUGCAUCCGUCGAUUCCUUUGUAGUUUGGCGGUGAUGACCGUCCUAGUUUGACGCCAAAGGUUGGUUGAUUCAGAAGACAGAACAUAUAUGUAUGUUUCACUCCAUUUGAACAAGUGUUGUAUCAGCCUGGCUGCAAAUUAAGCGCGUGUCAAAUUAUCACUUGGGACGGCCGAGACCUUGUGUACGGCCUGCUAGUACAGAUAGGUGGUCGACCGGUAGAUGGAUGGACCGAGAGAGGACGUACGUGCAACUUACCAUCGAAAACAAGUAGAGUUGCGCAUGAGGCGUUCUCGUAAAAUAGCCGCAUGCAGAUGCACGGCGACGAGGCGAGGCGACUAAUCAGUGGUCAGAACGGCGCUGGCUGGCUAGCUCCAUCAGCUACCGGUCCGUCCUCGUGCAGAUGCAGCACGGCACGAGGAGCGAGAGAUAGGAGACGACCCUGCGAGAG